AGUAAGAAUACGCACAGCGGAGAAUCUGCCCGAGAGCAGAUGACUUCACGGAGCUCCAGGACGCAGUUGGUUGCUCUGACCUGACCCCUGCGGGAGGGGAGCGCCCGAAGUGAGGAUGGAAAGUCCCCGUAACCUCCCUUCUCUCCAGCCCCACACCAUACAGAGACCCUAGUCUGCCCUGAGCUAAGUGCUGUGGAACGGCUGCGGCACUCUCUGGACUUCAUCUGCUGCCCCUGGGUCACAUGUCCCUGUCGCCUUCGGGGAUUUUUGAGAUGAACUCAGCUAGCCUCUUGCUUGUCCCCAGAGAUGCCACGCCAGGAGAAACAGCCCGGCUUCUUUCUCCAAGACUGCUCUGCACUCUGUGGAUGAAGACACCCUCUGUAGGCGUCCCUGGUCCUCCAUACCUGCUUUGUCCGCUAGUGCAGGGGAAACCAAGCCUGGCGGCCCUCCCGGGACUGGAGACACAUUCUCGUAGGUGAGUUCCCCAUCCUCAUAGGCCUCACAGUCUGGAAAGGGAAAAGCUCCAAAGUGAGAGUCUGGAGUGAGGUCUGUGGAGUGGGGGAGGAGAGCAAGCAGGACUUACCCUGUCCUGAAUGGUUAGACGCGUUGUUCUUCAAGGGCACUUUCACAAAGCGCAGGUCUGCAUAGGUGAUGGCGUCAGCCAUAACCCUGGGUACCUCUGCUUCACAGACUUCCAGCUAAUCCACUGGCCCACACCUCCCUGGCUCCUCUCCUCUCUUAGCUAUUGAGUUCUCUGUGUGGUUGUAAGGCUCAGCCCUUUGCGCUGUGACGCCAAAGUCACAAAAGAGGAAGGUCUGUGGGCAGAUGGACUCAAUGAAGCAGAAGAGGUCCUUGGGUUGGAGCCAGAUGACCAGAGAGGGAUGCUGGGGUCCCAAAUACAGACUCUGAAGCUAGCUGAACUCUGUCCAGCCAGAUCCCCCUCCUCAUGCACCCUCGACCCACUUUGCUUAAGGUCCUCAUGCCAGUUCCUCUGUGUUCCCUGCUUGGCCACGCCUUCCUGACUGUCAUUCACUGAGCUCCAUCCAUGUAGAGUUGGGACCCUGGCUCUUACUGACCCAGGACAUCACCCCAAUCAACUUCAUCCAGGAGGGGACCCUUAAUUUGGUAGCUCAGAUAAGGUUCAUAUGCCCCAUUUUGCAUGGAGUGCUCCUGAGGUAAACCUGACUCCUCCCCUCCUGCUUACAGAGCUGUCACCCUGAAGCCAUCCCUGGGAAUCUGACAGCUUUUAGGAGGAUGCAAGGGAGACAGGGAACAAACUGGUUUUCCUCUGUGAGCAUCCCAGGCUCCCCACUUCAUAGCUUUUCCCUGCUGUCUACCUGACCAUGCCUGUGAGAAGCUGUACCCUCCCUCUCAUCCAUCUUUCCCUUGAUAUCCUGCGGUGUCCUCUGUGCUCCCACAUCAGAGCCAUAUCAGGAAUCAGUGUCUACUUGGAGCCGCUCUGGGCUGGGCUACAGGACUAGCCUGGAGCAACAGUGGUUCUCACACACCCUUCUAGAGAGGGAAGCAAAGAAACAACGAGUGUGAAAUUCAGUACAGGAUAUGGUGAGCUGGAGAGCUGGCUCAGUGGUUCAGAGCACUGACUGGAGUUCCAGCAGCCACAUGGCCAUUCUCGGCCAUCUGUACCAGGCAUGGACAUGGUGCACAGACAUACAUACAGGCACAACACAUGCACACACAAAAUAAAACCUAAAAAGACAAGAAGGGCUGGCUAUGGUUUCCUGGGUAGCAGUGAGGCUGAGAAACUCCCCCUUGUUCUUACUCAUUUCUUCCCAUAGAAGGUGCUGGGAGCUGAAGGUGUAGCCCAGUGGUCUGGUGAAAGUACGAUGAUCUGACCUCACUUCCCAGCACACACAGACACACGUGCAGUCCAAACAUUCUCCCAUCAUGCUCGUCCCCCCAAAAAAUGAACACUUGGGCCAAGUGGGGUGGUGCACACCGUUUAUCUCAGCAAUCAGGAGUCAGAGGCAGGCACAGCAAAUCCCUGUGAGUCAGAGGCCAGCCUGGUCUACACCAUGAGUACUAUGCUGACCAGGGUUGUGUGGUGAGACUAUGCUUCACAGAGAGAAAGAGAAGGAGAGAGAGAAAGAGAAAGAGAGAGAGAGAGAGGAAGAGAGAGAGAGAGAGGAUACAUUUGUAGAGGAGACCACAAGCCUAAGUUGUUGUAGUGAAGAGAAGAAGAGGACCUCCUUGAUGGAGGAGGGAGACAGUGGCAGAAGGAAGCCUGCUGAGCUGAGUGCCCAGAGGUGCUCUCUAAUGGUCUUUUACCACAAUGUAGCCUCUUAUAAGAAUCCCAAAAGGCCCUCACGCCUUGAGGGUUGGAAUGAGCUGAAGCUGGAUGAGAUAUGGACAUGAGAACUGCCCCUCCCUGAGGCCACAUCCGCUCCCCCUCCAUCAGCUGUCUGACAGCUGUGGGGAGGAAGAAAGAAAGGUAAAGUUCCUCACCACAAGCUGGAUCACUCACGUGGCUGGGGGUGUUGGGCUGGGCAGGGGAUGUUACUGUUAGGGGAUGUGAGGAGAGCCCUUCUGCUGUGACAUAGUCGAGUCUGCCCCAGAGAGAGUAGCCCCUGAAGCUGGAGAGCAAACACAUGUUACCAGAUGAAGUGUCUGAGGAGAGGCGGGUGUGUACACACAUUUGUGUGUGUGCUUGCGUGUGUACAGCCUUCUUGGGUGUCUGGGGGGAGUGAGUGCCGGUGUGAAAGUGCCCCUGGGAAACACAACAGAUCCUGCAGAUCCUGAGGGCUGAGGCUGUCGUCUUUUGCCAUAGCAGUGAAUGAUGUGACAUUAUCAGAAAAGUCAUCGUAGGUCAAGACAACAGGUUUUACAAAUUAUUUCCUUUUGGUGGUUCAUUAGUUUCCUAAGGCUUCUCUGCAGCUGUUAACGGUCCCUGCUUGAUUAAAGUUUCCAACAGCCCGGGGCCUUCCUCCAGGCACUGUGGCAGGGCCUCCCCCAGAGACUAGGCAGUGGACUAGUGACUCCCUGGGGGCCUGUAGAGGGUGUGAGAAUGAGUAGGAGGGCACAGAGCAGCUGGUGUGGAGGAUGGGUGGGCACAGUUGGGGCAUAGCAUCUGUGGUACACAGGGUGUGGGAGCGAGCAGAGCGUGAGUGGCUGUAAAGAGGCUGGUGGGGAUUCCACGGACUAGAGACAAAGUCUCAGAUCUCAGAACCCCAGUAUAUGGAUGUAAGCCGAGGUUCGGUUGUACACUGGAAAACAGCAUCUAUGAGAGUCUUAAGAAAGUGGCCCCUAGAUGGAGCUGAGCUGAGAGGCCCAGCA